GACGAACGCUGGCGGCGUGCUUAACACAUGCAAGACGAGCGGAGCGGCGUACGGGUGAGUAACGCGUGGGUAACUGCCCCCCUCCCUGGGAUAACAGUUGGAAACGGCUGCUAAUCCCGGAUAGUGGGGGAUGACUCGGGUUCUAUCAGCUUGUUGGUGGGGUAGUGGCCUACCAAGGCGACGACGGGUGGCCGGCCUGAGAGGGCGACCGGCCACAUUGGGCUGGGAUACGGGCCGAAGUCCUUCGGGGGGCAGCAAUGGGGCAUAGAGCGCGAUGGGGGAAGCCCUGAUGCAGCAACGCCGCGUGGUGGAUGACUGUCUUCGGAUUGUAACCCUCUUUCAGCCAGGACGCGGUAGUUGCAGAAGAAGCACCGGCUAACUACGUGCCAGCCGCCGCGGUAAUUC
rnacentral:rRNA from 1 species